AGGUGUUCAUAUUGCAUGCUAAAGGCUUACUGUUUACAAUGAAUCACAAAAGAAUACUUCAUUUUAAUGAUAGAAAAUGGAAUAGUUUAUGUCCAUGCUUAAGCAGCAGGUCCGGAUUUCUUGUGUACGUCGCAACCAUCAGCAUCACAGGCGUUUGGUAUGGCGACAAUCCUAAUGUGCAGUGAAAUAGCCUUUUCUAUUCUUCUGAACUUCGUCCAUAGUGUAACCUCCAUCAACAUCAUUGAAGGAGGAUAUCCGUGAAAAUGUAUGAUUUUGGUAUGUUUAAACGCAAACACAUGGCGUUCUCUUAUUAUUGGUAGGCGCACAGUCAAUUGUAGAGGAUUCUGGGUGUAGAGGAUGCGGAGCCAUCAAUUUCAGCAAUACAUAGAAAUACGAUUUAUCCACCAUUUCUCUGUCUCAAGACUUCUUCUGAAGAACAGAUAACCUAGCCAUGACCUAACCCCAAAAUCAGCAAUAACAUAACCUAACGCCGAUAUGUAUGAAGAAGAGAUCUGAGAUUUUGGUCUGGAAAACAAAUCAAGAAUCGAUUGUUGUUGGUGUUGCUGGUGCCUUUGCUAAAACCACUAUUGCCCCAAUGGAACGCAUUAAGAUUCUCUUGCAGGUUAUCAGGUCAAUUAAAUUUUUGUGUAAUUGUUGAUUUGAAAAAAUUGUGAUCUUCUUAUUAAUUUUUGGGGAUUUUAAUUUAUAGACGAGAAAAGAAGGGUUUCAUUCAAUUGAUGUGUAUCAAUCUAUGGAGAAGUUGUUGAAGCAUGAGGAUGUCUUUGGAUUCUAUGAUUAAGUCAUAAUAUGCUACUUGCUGUAUGAGUUCUUUUGUGACAUUGGUUUUUGCCGGAAAGAAAAAAUGAAGCUUUUCAUUCAAAGGAUUCCUUGUUUUUGGUCUAAUUGGGAGGAAACGAUGCUAGUUCCAUAUUCAGCAUGAUAUAUGAGCAAUGGGUACAGGUCCUGUUGUUGAUCUUUUAGUGGGCUCUGCAGCUGGUGGAACUGCCGUUGUGUUUACUUACCCAUCAGAAUUAGCUCUAGCCAAGCUUGCUUAUCAGGUAAAUGCAACAAAAAGCUAGUGCCCAUACAAUGUUUCUCUUUUGAUAGCAAACUGUAAUGAAACAGAUAGAAAGAGGAUGAAGCGUCCAUGCAAUAGAAAUACUUUCAGGGUAGAUAUAAGUUUUGCUGCCAAGAUCCCAAUGCAGGUCAUGGCAAAUGCAUUACGUGGUCAAGAAAAUGAGAACUCACAAGAAGCUCUCAGAGUUCUGGAUAUAGUUUUACGACAGCAUGCAGCGAAACAGGGUUGUCUUCUUGUUCCUCAGUCAUUCUUCCACAAUGAGCCAUGGAACUUUGUCGAAUUGGGCGGUGGAGUCCUAGGGUGUAAAGGGUUUCAUUCUAGUUUUAGGACCACUCUGGGGGAUUAUCUCUGAAUAUUGGCUAAGCGAACGCUUAAAAUUUAAGGAUCAAGGUUGGGUCACUGGACUGAAUGAGUUGGCUUGUCGUAAACAAACUUUUGCUAUCAACUGAAAAUGGGAUGAUGCGGAUGCGCAACCUGUAGAAGUCACAGUGUAUGACUAUGAUGUUACGAAGUUUAGUAAUAUCAAGUUACAUGACUCUGCUAAUUACCCAUGCAUCAAAGUGGGUAAACCGAAAAGGCCGACAUACAUCCCAAUUGGGGUAAAAAGAUGAUACCUGUUGUAUGUUGUGUUGUUUUAAUGUUUUGUACAUAAUGAAAAAAUGCUUAUGGUACAUACUAUAGCUUGUGGUUGUUGUUCUCUGUAGCUCUGUGAGUUGGUAUCUUAACAACGAUACACAAAGGCACUGUCCACUCUCCAAAGAUCUUCACUUGUGGAAAAAUCAAGGCAAAAACCCCGGGAGCGUAUGACUGCUUUGAGAAAUCUAAGCAUCUCCAUAGUUUUAUUCUAUUUUUAAUAGCACACAGCCAAAGCUUCUGGAAUUUCUCCGAUUUUGAAGAGCCAUGAAACUUACCUCGACACUUUAAUCUCGUUUUUAUCCUGGGAUUAUUUUGCUUGGGUAUGCGCCUAGGCGUUGUACUUGGAAGAGAGGCUUGAAUGUUUCCGUGUGUGAAGUAUGACGUUGAAACUGAUCCUCCGGUAAGUUAUCAAUACAAUAGUCUCUAGUUCAAUACUUCUCUGUUGCCAUUAUACCUUUUCUGUUUUAAGUUGUAGAAAUUAAAUUAUUGCUAAUAAUGAGAGUUGGAACACCUUAUAACUGCUCAGCAAUAGCCUAAAUUAGUUCGCCUUCUGUUUGAUUUCCCUGGAGGGAUUCCGGUACUGAUUAGUUAAGAAUGGGCUUGUAAAUAAAUAUUUUAGUUUGAGCAAAUGCCGACUGCGUCUCUGUGGACACCAAAAGUAUAUGUAACUUUUGGUUGUUGUCUGCGGAGAACUAGGGAUAUGAAUACAAUCGAUUUGCUUGAGCACUUGCCAGCUUUACAACAGCUCCUUUUCCGAGUUCUUGGUUGCCAGAACUUAUCAUAGCCACAAGUAGCAGCAGUUUACAACUUCGUGAUCCAGUUAGCACUUUCAAUGGUCGCUGGGGAAAGCAUUAAAAUCUAGAAUGCCAUCAGCGAUGGUGCAGUUAAUUUGGUUGACAAGGGUAUUAGAGAGGAUUUGCAUACAUGUUUCUGAUUCUCCUUAAUCCGCUGCCAGGGAAAAAAUUUUCUUUUUCUUUGAGGAGGUGUCCUUAACAUGUCAGUUUUUAUUCCUUUGUUUUUCUGUUCAUAUAAGGGAAUCAUGCGUUGUUUUUUUAAUCAUCCAAAUACAAGAUUUAGAUGCUAAUAUUGAUAAGACAUGGUCCCCAUAAGACAUCCUUUAAUAAUAGACAACCAAUUUACUGA